rnacentral:precursor_RNA from 1 species
ACCGUGGCUUCGAUUGUUACUGUGGGAACCGGAGGUAACAGUCUACAGCCAUGGUCG